CAGUUAUUUUCAUUUAUAGGAAGACAUAAACGUGAACGUAAUUAGAGGAAAUUUUCAUUGAAGGCAAACAGGAAAUUAAAGAAGUCAAGUUCAAAGACACCUUACCGGACCGAUAAACAAGUUGGCUUUUGUGGAGCUUAUUUGGACGUGGCUGUUUAAGUCAUCUUGCUCAUAAAGAUUGAUUGGUACGAGGUAGACAUCUGGGAUUGACCGAAGACCCGAUCUGUUGACUGUACCGAUCUACAGGACUCCCAACUGCCAGAUCAGACCAGGAAAUUCAAUACUGCAUAGAAGUCAAGGUUUACUCAACAAUUUCAUAUUUGAUCGAGCACAUGGACAGGGACAUCAUCUGAAGGACAUUUCAUUCUUCAAGAAGUUAUUUUGCCCAAGUAAGAUACAAGGGCCCAUUUCAUAGAACUUGUUAUAAUAGCAAAUGUGCAAUGGUAGUAAAAAGCUAUUGGAAUCAAUUGAUCUUAUUGGCUGAUAGUGAACUUGUCAUAGAAAUCUUGCAUAAGUUAUUAUAACAAGGCUUUAUGAGAUGGGGCUCAGGUUGUGCAAUCUUUUGAUAUUCUCUUUCAGAAAAGGUUCUAUGACAUU